GAAAGGAACUGGACUGAUGGUCUGCUUUUCUGUUUUGGAAGUGCCAGUGCCUGUAGUCAGCCUGAAUAUUUAUGACGUUGGCCCUACCACCAUGCAUGUGCAGUGGCAGCCUGUGGGAGGAGCUACUGGCUACAUCUUGUCAUACAAACCUGUUAAGGACACAGAGCCAACAAGACCCAAAGAGAUGCGUUUGGGGCCAACAGUGAACGACAUGCAGCUGACUGACCUUGUUCCCAACACGGAGUAUGCAGUCACAGUCCAGGCUGUCCUGCACGACCUCACUAGUGAACCCGUCACUGUUCGGGAAGUCACCUUGCCUUUACCCAGACCUCAGGAUCUGAAACUCAGAGAUGUGACUCACAGCACUAUGAAUGUCUUUUGGGAACCUGUGCCUGGAAAAGUGCGUAAAUAUAUUGUUCGAUACAAAACACCAGAAGAGGAUGUCAAAGAGGUAGGUUGAAGAUGAUAGUAGAUAUGAAAAUAUUUGUUUUCCUAGUAG
rnacentral:sRNA from 1 species